rnacentral:rRNA from 1 species
UACGAAGGGGGCUAGCGUUGUUCAUGAUUACUGGGCGUAAAGCGCACGUAGGCGGAUCGUUAAGUCGGGGGUGAAAUCCUGGAGCUCAACUCCAGAACUGCCUUCGAUACUGGCGAUCUUGAGUCCGGAAGAGGUGAGUGGAACUCCUAGUGUAGAGGUGGAAUUCGUAGAUAUUAGGAAGAACACCAGUGGCGAAGGCGGCUCACUGGUCCGGUACUGACGCUGAGGUGCGAAAGCGUGGGGAGCGAACAGG